rnacentral:lncRNA from 1 species
AACCCCUCUCUCUUGGAGGACAGAGUCUGCUCCCCUAAAUUCUACUGGGUUCUUUUUCAGGCCUCCAUCCCUGGGAUUUGCUGGUAGAAGAAAGGGAAUCAGCGCUGACUGAGCUCCUACUAUGUGCCCUUCCUUGGCCUGGCACUGGAAUCACAGGAUGAAUGAAUAAGGCAUAUUUCCUGCCCUGAGGAGGCGUCUAUAGGGGAAGUCGGAAUUAAGGCACCUCCAGAAUUCUGAGGUCAAGGGAAUGUCAACAGAGCUGUGAACAAAAUGCCCAAAGCCAUGAAAAUCUACAGAGAGAGACUUGAAGGGGAGGAAUGGGGUAGGAGCUGGUGUCGAGGAUGAGAAGGGAAAAUUCACCUGGUGGAGAACUGAUAGCCAGGCUGAGGUCAGGAUGGUGGAGGUGAUGAGGUACCAGAGAAACCCUGAAGAAAGGUGAGAGGCAGGAGACCGCCAAAGGCAAACUUGGAACACCUGGUGACUCCGACUAACUCUCCAUGUGGUGUCCUUGAGGACUUUUAUGAUACUGCUACCACUGCUAAUAGUAAUAAAAGUUACUAUUUAAUGUGUUUACUAUGUGCUGGGUGUGCAAAUAUUGUGGAAAGAGUGAACAUA